UACGUAGGGUGCAAGCGUUGUCCGGAAUCAUUGGGCGUAAAGGGCGCGUAGGUGGCCCGGUCAGUCUUUGGUGAAAGCGCGGGGCUCAACCCUGCGUCGGCCAGGGAUACUGCCGCGGCUGGAGCACUGUAGAGGCAGGCGGAAUUCCGGGUGUAGCGGUGGAAUGCGUAGAGAUCCGGAAGAACACCGGUGGCGAAGGCGGCCUGCUGGGCAGUUUUGCUGACACUGAGGCGCGACAGCGUGGGGAGCAAACAGG
rnacentral:rRNA from 1 species